rnacentral:misc_RNA from 1 species
UCACUACUUGCGUAGGCAGUCGAUCUAGAGUUCCCGCCAUUACGCGCUGGCAACUAGACCCAGGGGUUGCGCUCGUUGCUGGACUUAACCAAACACCUCACGGCACGAGCUGACGACAGCCAUGCAGCACCUGUACCGCCCCCCUUGCGGGUAGCCCACUUUCAUGGGUUUAGACGGCCUUUCAAGCCUAGGUAAGGUUCUUCGCGUUGCAUCGAAUUGAACCACAUGCUCCACUGCUUGUGCGGGCCCCCGUCAAUUCCUUUGAGUUUCACCCUUGCGAGCGUACUCCCCAGGUGGAUCACUUAACGCGUUAGCUCCGACGCCAAUCCUAAGGACUGACAUCAAGUGAUCAUCGUUUAGGGCAUGGACUAC